rnacentral:rRNA from 1 species
CUACGUGCCAGCAGCCGCGGUAAUACGGAAGGUCCAGGCGUUAUCCGGAUUUAUUGGGUUUAAAGGGAGCGUAGGCCGGAGAUUAAGUGUGUUGUGAAAUGUAGACGCUCAACGUCUGACUUGCAGCGCAUACUGGUUUCCUUGAGUACGCACAACGUUGGCGGAAUUCGUCGUGUAGCGGUGAAAUGCUUAGAUAUGACGAAGAACUCCGAUUGCGAAGGCAGCUGACGGGAGCGCAACUGACGCUGAAGCUCGAAGGUGCGGGUAUCAAACAGGAUUAGAUACCCUGGUAGUCCGCACAGUAAACGAUGGAUGCCCGCUGUUGGUACCUGGUAUCAGCAGCUAAGCGAAAGCAUUAAGCAUCCCACCUGGGGAGUACGCCGGCAACGGUGAAACUCAAAGGAAUUGACGGGGGCCCGCACAAGCGGAGGAACAUGUGGUUUAAUUCGAUGAUACGCGAGGAACCUUACCCGGGCUUGAAUUGCAGAGGAAGGAUUUAGAGAUA